UACGUAGGAUGCAAGCGUUGUCCGGAUUUCCUGGGCGUAAAGAGCGCGCAGGCGGUCGUCCAAGUCGCGUGUGAAAGCCCCCGGCUCAACUGGGGAGGGUCACGCGAUACUGGUCGACUCGAAGGCAGGAGAGGGUAGUGGAAUUCCCGGUGUAGUGGUGAAAUGCGUAGAUAUCGUAAGGAAGACCAGUGGCGAAGGCGGGUCUCUGGACAGUUCCUGACGCUGAGGCACGAAGGCCAGGGGAGCAAACGGG
rnacentral:rRNA from 1 species